rnacentral:rRNA from 1 species
UGAGGAAUAUUGGUCAAUGGACGAGAGUCUGAACCAGCCAAGUAGCGUGAAGGAUGACUGCCCUAUGGGUUGUAAACUUCUUUUAUACGGGAAUAAAGUGAGGCACGUGUGCCUUUUUGUAUGUACCGUAUGAAUAAGGAUCGGCUAACUCCGUGCCAGCAGCCGCGGUAAUACGGAGGAUCCGAGCGUUAUCCGGAUUUAUUGGGUUUAAAGGGAGCGUAGGCGGACGCUUAAGUCAGUUGUGAAAGUUUGCGGCUCAACCGUAAAAUUGCAGUUGAUACUGGGUGUCUUGAGUACAGUAGAGGCAGGCGGAAUUCGUGGUGUAGCGGUGAAAUGCUUAGAUAUCACGAAGAACUCCGAUUGCGAAGGCAGCUUGCUGGACUGUAACUGACGCUGAUGCUCGAAAGUGUGGGUAUCAAACAGGAUUAGAUACCCUGGUAGUCCACACAGUAAACGAUGAAUACUCGCUGUUUGCGAUAUACAGUAAGCGGCCAAGCGAAAGCGUUAAGUAUUCCACCUGGGGAGUACGCCGGCAACGGUGAAACUCAAAGGAAUUGACGGGGGCCCGCACAAGCGGAGGAACAUGUGGUUUAAUUCGAUGAUACGCGAGGAACCUUACCCGGGCUUGAAUUGCAACUGAAUGAUGUGGAGACAUGUCAGCCGCAAGGCAGUUGUGAAGGUGCUGCAUGGUUGUCGUCAGCUCGUGCCGUGAGGUGUCGGCUUAAGUGCCAUAACGAGUGCAACCCUUAUCGAUAGUUACCAUCAGGUUAUGCUGGGGACUCUGUCGAGACUGCCGUCGUAAGAUGUGAGGAAGGUGGGGAUGACGUCAAAUCAGCACGGCCCUUACGUCCGGGGCUACACACGUGUUACAAUGGGGGGUACAGAAGGCAGCUACACGGCGACGUGAUGCUAAUCCCUAAAGCCUCUCUCAGUUCGGAUUGGAGUCUGCAACCCGACUCCAUGAAGCUGGAUUCGCUAGUAAUCGCGCAUCAGCCACGGCGCGGUGAAUACGUUCCC